AGGGUUCAUUGCCAUUUCAAAAUGCUUUUUGUUGAUGUCCACACAUAAAUGUCGUUUAGAUAUUCAUCUUCAGGUAGUCUCACACUAAUCUUUUUUUUAUUGGCAGAAAAGAUUAAUCGGAUUAGUUCAACAACUGCUGACAAGUAGAUACGGAAGGCGGGCAGGUUGGGUUUGCUUCUCACUUUGCUAAUGACAUAUAUAGCAUAUAUGCAUAGAGAGGAAGUUGUGUGAGGACAGAAAUUAGAGCCUUGAGCUCUAAAUUCACAGAUAUCAACGGAGACAUAUAUCUAUCUUCUGAGGUUCACUUCUUGGAGCAGAGGUAAUGAGAUCACUCUCCAAAAGCUUCAGACAAUAACAUGAGUCUUUGAAAGGACAAAAAUUCUGCAAUUGUCACCUUGGAGCAUGGGGAAUACCUUUUUAAUACUCUUACGAGUCAACAAUUAUCCAUCUUCCAAAUAGUUUUUUUCUUUUGUUUUGGGUUCAUUCCAAAAGUGAAACUAAUGAUUGAUUGUUUUAUUGGUUAUAAAUGCUACGGGGUGAAAAAAGCUUGAAGAGGAAGAUGAGAAUCUGAAAAAUAGCACGCUCAGGGGUAUGUCGACAAGGCGUAUCUUCCAAUGCAGGCUAUAUGCUUCAGAAUCCAUUUGAGCUUUUACAAGAUCAUGUAAAAUCGGUUCUUGAGGAAUGAGGAGGACAUUGAUAUGUUCAAGCUCUUGAAUAAUAUUAUGACACAGAGUUCGAUAAUUCGAAAGGAUCAAUUUUUACUUCAAUUUACAAGUAUGUAAUUGUAGUUGAGUUAUGUUUAGUGCAUAAACGGUUGAUCGAAUCGUGCCUAACCAAUGGUACAAUGUCAGGUUUUCUUAAGAUUUAAGACGUAACCGGCUGGUUCGUGGUCUUCGCUUUUGAGAUAUGAAUCUCUUUUUCGGUUAAGGAAGGAAAGC